UUCGGGACGCCGGCGAGUGCCGAACGGGUGAGUAACACGUGGAGACCUGCCCUGGGGUGGGGGAUAACAGCUAGAAAUGGCUGCUAAUACCGCAUACGCCUUACGAGGGAAAGAUUUAUUGCCCCAGGAGGGUUCCGCGUCGGAUUAGCUUGUUGGUGGGGUAACGGCCUACCAAGGCGACGAUCCGUAGCUGGUCUUAGAGGAUGAUCAGCCACACUGGGACUGAGACACGGCCCAGACUCCUACGGGAGGCAGCAGUGGGGAAUAUUGCGCAAUGGGGGAAACCCUGACGCAGCGAUGCCGCGUGGGUGAAUAAGGCCUUAGGGUUGUAAAGCCCUUUCAGUGGGAACGAUGAUGACGGUACCCACAGAAGAAGCCCCGGCUAACUCCGUGCCAGCAGCCGCGGUAAUACGGAGGGGGCGAGCGUCGU
rnacentral:rRNA from 1 species